GGAAGGAGAGAGAAGACAUUUCUGGAACUGGCAGCAGAGGAGGAUAAUAAAAAGUAACGGAUGAGUCAUUAACACCCAGCAGCUGUCUUCAUGGUACAUCAACCAUCACAUUGCCUCCACCUCACUGUUUGACUCUUCAGAGCAAAGCAAAGAAGAUUCCAGAAGUCACCAACAAGAUCAUUGAUCUGCUGGCAGGAGAGGUUCCUAUAAGGUGUCAGGAUGUCACUGUCUAUUUCUCCAU